rnacentral:rRNA from 1 species
UGAGUGACGCGUGAAUCAUCGAAUCUUUGAACGCACUUUGCACCUAGAAACUCGUUGCUUCUAGGUAUACUUGUUUGAGUAUCGCACACAAUAUAUUGUUUAUUUCACUUCACAAAUGGAAUAAUAAUUUGAGUGGUUGCAUGCAAGGGUUCUUGUCAACUCGACUAGCAUGCAUCACUUGAAACACAUGUGGUCAUCAUUCCAUUCCAUUCCUGCAUUGACAAAUCGACCAUUGGGAUAACAUCCAUCAAUCGUCGUUAACUGGUUAUUGCUGCCAGGGUUGUGCAGGGGUUGCGACCAUUCCAAAAAUACACUCGUAUUUUUAUUUUACUUUACGCAAACGAUCUCAAAUCAAGCAUGGAUACCCGCUGAACUUAAGCAUAUCAAUAAGCGGAGG